AAGUUUUGGUAAGCCUUAUUUUGGUAGUCGUACAGUCACCUCUGAAAAUAUAGAUACGGACAAAGUGACAAAAAUAUAUAUGCAUGUAUUAGGUAGUUGUAUACAUAUUUGGCACUUUGUCCGUAUCGAUAUUUUUAGAUGUGAAUGUACUAGACAAAACUGUGACGUGGUUUUAUGCCUGUAAUGAUCUUAAUUUUUAAGACAGACAUUAGAAUGUCCCAUUUCAUUUUACAUCAAAACAAAUCAACCAUUAUAUUGACAUUUUAUUUACUUCACUUGAUCAUGUAUAUAAUAUUUUUCAACCUGGAAGGGUACCUGAUAGAUGUCAAUUCAAUACAAUUUCGCGACAUUUGGUAUUUUUAGGUUGUCAUCUGUCAUCGUACCCUUGAAAAAUAUUAUAAAACAAAAUUUUGCAUGGUGGGCGUUACUAGAUAUAAUGACUAGUUGACAACCCUAACCUCAUUACAACAAGGUUUACAAUAAUAGUCACAUAUGUCAUCACAUGUACAUAGCAAGUAGUUGCGGUAGUUAGUUAAUCAUAGUUUUUAAAUUAAUUACAUUUUUAUUCGUACAAUUUGUCGGUAUUUUUCAAUCUUAGUCAUAGCCUUAAUUUUGCAUCGGAAUGUAAACCUUGUUCACUAGAGUAUAUGAUACAAAUUAAGACAAUAUCGAUCGGAUAUGAAUAAAUUUGAAAUUUGCCGACAUUUUCAAUUUAUACAGCAAUAAUUCGAUAUCACCAUUUUUAAUUCCUAAUUAUUAAGCGUUGUUUUCAUAAAAUUGUACAAAAUAAAUCAAAAUUAUUACAAA